AGAGGCAUGUGGGUAUCAGCAACUGCUUAGAGAAGCUGGCCAAGGCCAGCCGAUGAGGGAGGGACCAGAUUCCCUGCAAGAUGAGAUGCAUUUGAAACAACUGACAAGAAACGGUAUGAGCAAUGGAAACACUGCUACCUGUUUCCAACUCAGCUGAAGUGAAUCAACUCAAAAUGCAGGAGGCAGAAAAAGGAUUUUCCUGGGAUAGAUCUUUCUUUUAAGCUUCAGCUGCACCACUUACACAUCUGUUUCCAGCCCUUGGAUCUUCUGUGAGGCAGAGAUGGCUUCCAAGUCAUGGAGAAUAACUGUUACCCCCCAUCCAACUUUCUGGAGCCUUUUGAUUGAUGCCUGGCUGAUGGACUCAAUCGCCUGCAAGUUUCCCAUAUGCUUCAUCUGAAUCCAAAAACAAGUUGAAGAAAAUAUGCAACAUUGGGAGAUUUUAACAGAAAAAUGGUAAGCCACUACUCCUUGUGGAACUAUGGUCUGUGAAGCUGCAAUUGGUGAGGAGGGGAAAGCCAGCUUUUCCUUAAGUUAUAGGCAAUAUUCCGAGCCAUGUCCUUGGGCUAUUUUGCAGAUGAUGAAACCCCACAAGGUGGAAGAACUUAACUACUUGCCAACCACAUACAUAGACCCUCCCCCGCAAGCUGGUUGGAACCAGGUUGAUGAUAUUGACUCCUGAUUACCUCACCACCAACCAAUCAGAAGAAUGUCCACGUGCUGAUCAUAUACCACAACCCUCUGCCUCAACCGGUCUUUAAAAACCUUUCCCUGAAAGCUAUUAGGGAGUUCAGGCCUUUUUGAGCAUUAGGCCUUUCACCAAACUUGUAGUUUGCUUCACCACAACCUGUUGUCUGCAGAUUGGCUUUAUUUGCCUUGAGUUUGGUAAUAAAUUUUUUUUUUUUUUGAAAGUGUUGCAAAUACAUUCUCCCUAUGUAUGACUUGAUUUUGUUACUUUGUGGUAUUUCUUGAUAUGCAGAAGUUUUAAGUUUUUAUAAAGUCAAGUUUAUAUUUUCCUUUAGGUUUUAUGCUUUUUUUUCAGGGGGGUACAAUUAUUAUGAAAUCCUUCUCUGGCUUGGAGAUAUAAAGACAUUCUAUUAUAUUUUCUUGUAAACAACUUAAAUUUUUAUUUUUCACACUUUGAUCAUUACUCAUCCAUGAAUUUUUUUUAGGAUAUAGAUUGGGAAUAUAGUUUUAUUUUCUACCUAAAUAGCCAAUUAUUCUACCACCAUUUAUUGGAUAAUCUAUCUUCAUCUUAUCCCCACUAAUUUGCAGUGUGUCCAUUUUCCUAUAAACACAGGUCUGGUUUUAGGUCUUGCUAUCCUAUUCCAUUGACCUAUUUGUCUAUUCACCUGCAUGAAGGUCAUCUCUUACUUGCCAUAGCUUUAAAUAAAUUUUGAUAUUUGAUAGGGUCAAACUACCAUUUUGUUUUUCAAAAUUUCUUAAGUAUCUUGUCCUUUUUCUUCCAUAUAAAUUUUGAGAUGAAUUUUUUAAGUUUCAUGUAAAUUUCUGUUAGAUUGUGUUUGAAAUUGGGUUGGUAUAUUAGGGAAGACAAUAUCUGUUAUUGAACGCUUUCAUCAAUAAACUUGGUAUAUCACU
rnacentral:lncRNA from 1 species